UUGGCCCCUCUAUGGCAAUGAGGGUUGCGGGUGGGCGGGAUGGCUCCUGUCUCCCCGUGGCUCUCGGCCUAGCUGGGGCCC
rfam:Hepatitis C virus subtype 1a isolate HCV-1a/TS/BID-V212/1990, complete genome